CCAAUAUCGGAAGCCAGAACAAACAAUAUCCCAGCCAGCGUAUGGGGAAGACUCAGCGGCGGGAAAUUCAAAGAAAA